GCGGGAAAUCAAGAAGCCAAUCACGAUGAGGGAGAGAACCAGAAGAGCCGCCAUGAUCAGACCGAGCAGCGCCAUGUCACCCGGCCGAUAGCCGAUGUUGGAAGGGGAGGGGAUGGCCACGGCUGCAGAGGAACACAGAAGCUGUCAACUUUAUCAAGCAUUUUCUGGACACUAGGGAGCAGACAUGAGUCUGGUCGACAGCAACAUUUUAUUAAGAGGUCAUAAAAUGUGUCAGCUUGUGAAAAAGGAAUAAAUGUUUUCCUGAAACCCA